UAUAUCUUUGUAUUCUUCAGUGGAUGCAAAUUCAGGUCCACAGAUUCGAUUCUCAACCACCUGACUUUAGCGAACUCCUUGGCCCUCCUCUCUAAAGAUGUCUCCCAGGCACUGGCAGUUUUCCCCUCAAAGGUUUUAAAUACAAAAUUAUCUACCUUUAUAGAGUGGGCAGAGGACUGUCUUUUGGCACCACCUCCCUCUUUAGUGUCUUCCAGGUUAUCACUAUCGACCCUAGGACCUCCAGGUGGAAAGAGC
rnacentral:lncRNA from 1 species